rnacentral:misc_RNA from 1 species
AUUCUAAAACUCUUGUGUGGAAUAAUAUUUUGGCAUUGGUAAUUUUGACAUUAAUAAGUGGCAAAAUCUAUGACAAUUUCAGAAAAAAUGGAGUCCAAGUAACAUAACAGGAUACACGCUGAUAGGAUAUAACACUUGUAAAUUUCUAUGGGAAUGUUGUGUGGUGGUUGAAUAAAUUUGUAUGAUAAGCACAUCUGUAUUACUACAAGUCACUAACGGUUCUGUCACAUUUACAUGAA